rnacentral:rRNA from 1 species
UACGUAGGGUGCGAGCGUUAAUCGGAAUUACUGGGCGUAAAGCGUGCGCAGGCGGUUUUGUAAGUCAGCUGUGAAAUCCCCGGGCUCAACCUGGGAAUGGCAUUUGGGACUGCAAGGCUGGAGUGCGGCAGAGGAGACUGGAAUUCCUGGUGUAGCAGUGAAAUGCGUAGAUAUCAGGAGGAAUACCGAUGGCGAAGGCAGGUCUCUGGGCUGACACUGACGCUCAUGCACGAAAGCGUGGGGAGCAAACAGG